CCCUGCCAUUUGUACACACCGCCCGUCGCUCCUACCGUUGGAUUCGAAGGUGAGCUUGCCGGAUGAACUAUGGCUUGCCCAUAGACAGAAAUCAAACAAACCUUCUUAUCUGUAGGAAGGAGAAGUCGUAACAA
rnacentral:rRNA from 1 species